UUUUCAUUUUUAUUAUUAUAAAUAUAUUAUUCUAAAUGCUAUAUAUUUAUAUUAUUAUAUUUUAUUAUUACAAAUCUUUGCUCACUCGCAUCUUUUUUCUCCCUCAGGGUUACAGCUCAGCCUCUGUCCCAUAUCUGGUUGAGGAGACUGUGGAUAAUCCAGAACAUCACCAGUGGAAAAAAAGGUGUGAAUGCAUUCAGAAAAAGCCCUUGUGAGUGAGUACACGGAUGCUGGGCAUGAUGAAGCACAAACCUUGAUGUGCAACACCAC